GACAGAGGUCCCGAGCGUUAGGCGGAAUCACUGGGCUUAAAGCGUGUGUAGGCGGAUCCGUAAGUACCUUGUGAAAUCCCACGGCUCACCCGUGGAACUGCUCGGUAUACUGCGGGUCUUGAGUCACUUAGGGGCGAGCGGAACAAACGGUGGAGCGGUGAAAUGCGUAGAUAUCGUUUGGAACGCCAAUGGUGAAAACAGCUCGCUGGGAGUGUGCUGACGCUGAGACACGAAAGCCAGGGGAGCAAACGGG
rnacentral:rRNA from 1 species